rnacentral:rRNA from 1 species
CGGGGUGAGUAAUGCUUGGGAAUCCGGCUUAUGGAGGGGGAUAACGACGGGAAACUGUCGCUAAUACCGCGUAUUAUCGGAAGAUGAAAGUGCGGGACUGAGAGGCCGCAUGCCAUAGGAUGAGUCCAAGUGGGAUUAGGUAGUUGGUGGGGUAAAGGCCUACCAAGCCUGCGAUCUCUAGCUGGUCUGAGAGGAUGACCAGCCACACUGGAACUGAGACACGGUCCAG